UAAUACGUAGGGGGCAAGCGUUGUCCGGAUUUAUUGGGCGUAAAGAGCGUGUAGGCGGCCAGAUAGGUCGGUUGUGAAAACUGGAGGCUCAACCUCUAGACGUCGACCGAAACCAUUUGGCUAGAGUCCGGAAGAGGAGAGUGGAAUUCCUGGUGUAGCGGUGGAAUGCGCAGAUAUCAGGAAGAACACCCGUGGCGAAGGCGGCUCUCUGGGACGGUACUGACGCUGAGACGCGAAAGCGUGGGGAGCGAACAGGAUUAGAUACCCUGGUAGUCCACGCUGUAAACGAUGGGUGCUAGGUGUGGGGGGUGUCGACUCCCCCCGUGCCGCAGCUAACGCAUUAAGCACCCCGCCUGGGGAGUACGGCCGCAAGGCUA
rnacentral:rRNA from 1 species